rnacentral:rRNA from 1 species
UACAGAGGUCCCAAGCGUUGUUCGGAUUCACUGGGCGUAAAGGGUGCGUAGGUGGUGGGGUAAGUCUGAUGUGAAAUCUCCGAGCUCAACUCGGAAAUGGCAUUGGAAACUACUCUGCUCGAGGGUUUGAGGGGGGACUGGAAUACUUGGUGUAGCAGUGAAAUGCGUAGAUAUCAAGUGGAACACCAGUGGCGAAGGCGAGUCCCUGGAAAACUCCUGACACUGAGGCACGAAAGCUAGGGGAGCAAACAGG